AUUGAACGCUGGCGGCAGGCCUAACACAUGCAAGUCGAGCGAGCGGCGGACGGGUGAGUAAUGUAUGGGGAUCUGCCUGAUGGAGGGGGAUAACUACUGGAAACGGUAGCUAAUACCGCAUACCAUCAGAUGCACCCAUAUGGGAUUAGCUUGUAGGUGGGUAAAGGGCUCACCUGGGCGCCGAUCCCUACCUGUUCUGAGCGGCUGACCAGCCACACUGGGACUGAGACACGGCCCAGACUCCUACGGGAGGUAGCAGUGGGGAAUAUUGCACAAUGGGCGAAAGCCUGAUGCAGCAAUGCCGCGUGGAUGAAGAAGGCCUUCGGGUUGUAAAGUACUUUCAGUCGGGAGGCGUUACCGACAGAAGAAGCACCGGCUAACUCCGUGCCAGCCGCCGCGGUAAUAC
rnacentral:rRNA from 1 species